rnacentral:tRNA from 1 species
GGUCCCGUAGUUCAAUUGGUUAGAGCGUUGGUCUUGUGAGUUGAAGGUCACGAGUUCGAGCCUUGUUGGGACCA